rnacentral:rRNA from 1 species
GAUGAACGCUGGCGGCGUGCCUAAUACAUGCAAGUCGAGCGAACUUACGAGAAUCUUUCUUCUCUGAUGUUAGCGGCGGACGGGUGAGUAACACGUGGCUUACCUACCUAUAGGACUUGGAUAACUUCGGGAAACCUGAGCUAAUCCCGGAUUAUCUUUUCAACCUCAUGUUUUAAUAGAGUAUGACGGUCUUGCUGUCACUCAUAGAUGGCUUCGCGCUGCAUUAGCUAGUUGGUAAGGUAACGGCUUACCAAGGCAACGAUGCAUAGCCGAGCUGAGAGGGUGAUAGGCCACACUAGAACUGAGACACGGUACAGACUCCUACGGGAGGCAGCAGUAGGGAAUCGAACGCAAUGGGAGAAAGCCUGACGGAGAAAAGCCGCGUGAGUGAUGAAGGGAUGCGGAUCGGAAAAGUCUGUUAUUAGGGAAGAACAUAUGUGUAAGUAACUGUGAACAGCUUGACGGUACCGAAUCAGAAAGCCACGGCUAACUACGUG